rnacentral:rRNA from 1 species
GCUAGCAGUGUUAUUGUCCUGUGGCCUGAUCCAGUCAGGUCUCAAAAGCUGAACAAAAAAGGUCCAGGUCAGUACUGGACUGGGAGACCUGUAGAGAAACCCAGGUUGCUGCUGUAG